rnacentral:rRNA from 1 species
UACGUAGGUGGCAAGCGUUGUCCGGAAUUACUGGGUGUAAAGGGCGAGUAGGCGGGAAUAGAAGUCAUGUGUGAAAGGCCGUAAAAAAAAUACGGAAGUGCAUGUGAAACUAGAUUUCUUGAGUAUUGGAGAGGAAAGCGGAAUUCCUAGUGUAGCGGUGAAAUGCGUAGAUAUUAGGAGGAACACCAGUGGCGAAGGCGGCUUUCUGGCCAAUUACUGACGCUGAGGAGCGAAAGCGUGGGGAG